UGGAUAGUAACGGAAAAUCUGUUAGUAAUACAUGAACUAUGUUUAGUAUUCUACUAAAGAUAAUAGUAAGUACGUUUGCAUAUCUGCCACUGCAGCAUCAUCUUACGUUGGUGGGGUAUUUGCCUACCAAGGAUUCGACGCUUACGGGGAAUUAGGGUUUGACUCCGGAGAAUGAGCAUGAGAAACAGCUCAUACAUCUAAGGAAGGCAGCAGGCGCGGAAAUUGCCCAAUGUAUUCGUUACGAGGCAGUGACAAGAAAUGAAGGGUACUUUUGUACACCAUCUAGGGCCUGUUAUAUCUAAGCUAACCGGUUAUUCGUGGGAAAGCUCGGUGCCAGCAGCCGCGGUAAUUCCGACACGGAGAGUAUUCUAUUGUGUUGCUGCAGUUAAAAAGUUCGUAGUUUAUUUUCUUUUUCACUAUAAGUAAAUCUAAGUGUUUAUAACUACUUAACUGUUUUUAUAGUAUGAAAUUAUAAUGCGGUAUUUGGCGUAGUUUGGGGUACUCGAUAGGGACAGGUGAAAUAGGAUGAUCUAUCGAAGACCAACGGUAGCGGAGGCUCCCAACGCAGUCUAAGUAUCACGAUCAAGAACUAAAGUCAGGGGAUAGACGACGAUUAGAAACCGUUUUAUUCCUGACCCUAAACGAUGUCGCCUAGCUGAUGGGGUUUUUACUUCAUUUGCCAAGAGAAAUCGUAAGGUUUCAGACUCUGGGGGAAGUAUGAUCGCAAGGUUGAAACUUGAAGGGAUUGACGGAGAGGUACCACCAGACGUGGAGUCUGCGGCUCAAUUUGACUCAACACGCAAAUCUUACUAGGCCCAGAAGCUUUGAGGAUUGACAGAUGAGUGAUCUUUCAUGAUUAAGUUGUUGGUGGUGCAUGGCCGUUCUUAGUCCGUGAUUUAAAUUGUCUGCUUUAUUGCGAUAACGAACGAGACCUCUAUCAGAUUAAUUAUCUGAGACUGCUAGUGAUGAACUAGAGGAAGGCAGAGGCAAAAACAGGUCUGUGAUGCCCUUAGAAGCCCUAGGCCGCACGCGUACUACAAUGGCAGGUUCAUCGUGUUGCUUCCCUGAAAAUGGUGGCAGUUCAUUAAAACUUGUCGUGGUUAGGCUUGAAAAAA
rnacentral:rRNA from 1 species